AACGAACGCUGGCGGCAGGCCUAACACAUGCAAGUCGAGCGAGGACUUCGGUCCUAGCGGCGGACGGGGGAGUAACGCGUGGGAACGUGCCCUUUGCUUCGGAAUAGCCCUGGGAAACUGGGAGUAAUACCGGAUGAGCCCAUUGGGGGAACGAUUUAUCGGCGAAGGAUCGGCCCGCGUUGGCUUAGGUAGUUGGUGGGGUAAUGGCCUACCAAGCCGACGAUCCAGAGCUGGUUGGAUAGGAUGACCCGCCAGACUUGGACUGCGGCCCGGCCCACACCCCGACGGGAGGCAGCGGUGGGUAAUCUUAGACACUGGGGGAAACUCUGAUCUAGCCAUGCCGCGUGAGCGAUGCAGGCCUUAGGGUUGUAAAGCUCUUUCAGCUGGGAAGAUAAUGACGGUACCAGCAGAAGAAGCCCCGGCUAACUCCGUG
rnacentral:rRNA from 1 species